AUCCCAUGUUGAGGACACUUCCUCAACAACUCCUUAUACAGCUUCCAUGCUUCGUACAAGGUUUUGGACUCCAUCUACUGAAAAUAAGAUAUGUCAUUUCUGAGCUU